CGCGCAAACGAAUACGUCGUCUAUGUACACCGAUGCCACUUCGUACUUAUAAUUUCGCUGGACGUAAAUUUCAUACGAAACGGUUCAAUGGACUUUUCGAAAACAUUAAACGUGUUCCGUAACGUGAAAAGUCUCGUGCUAAAUAAGAAAAUUGAAGGAAGUAGUGUUGCGCAAUUCGUUCCGUAAAGUAUAUUUUGUGUAAUCUGAGUGCGUAUUGUGCCGCGCGAGUGAGAAUCGUGCUAAAUACAGUCCCGUUGGAGGGCUUUGCGGAUUUAGUUAAAGGUCGCGGUGGCAGUGUAGUGUCGGUGCAGUGCAGUGUAGUGGCGAGCCAUGGCGAUCAGCUAGCGGGGCGCCCCGGCGGCAUGCGCGCCCGCUAGCCAUGCCGGCUGCGGCCCCAUGGCGCAGUACACUCACAGGACACCGCCCAUGCACAGGUACAUAAAACUAAAGGCGUGUAAAUGGGAUGAGAGGUAAAUACAUAGCUAACUAACUACUUAUCGUCAUAAUAGGGAUGAUGACAGUUUUAUAAAUUGUAUAUAAAUUAAGAGUAUGCUAAUAGUAAAGCAAUU
rnacentral:lncRNA from 1 species